rnacentral:rRNA from 1 species
UAGGGGAACCUGCGGAAGGAUCAUUAC